AAAAAUCCUAAAAAAAUCCUAAAUAAUUCCUAAAUAAUUCCUAAACAAUUCCUAAACAAAUCCUAAACAAACUCUAAACAAACUCCUAAAUAAAUACUAAAAAAAUCCUAUAAAAAUCCUAACCAAAUCCUAAAUAAUCCCAAGUAAUUUCUAUAGCAAAUUUAAACUUCAAUAAUUAAUGAAUGAACCAUUGAUUUUAAUUCAAAUUUUUCAAACCUCUUAAAAAUUAUAUUAAAAAGAAGCAAAAAAAAAUAAAGAAGAUCGAAUUCACCAAAAAGAAGAUCAACUCUAAUAUUUGUUUGGCUAUUAGCUGGCCUUCUUCUUCAAUCUAAAUAUUAAAUUUCCAGCCUCAAUAUCUCCUUAUUAAACCAUUCGAUUGAUCUCAAAUUCCUCAUAUACAUAGAAAAACAAGUCUACUAUCUACACACAUAAUUUUCACUCUAAUCCAAUUGAUAGAUUGCAAAAAAACCUAAAAACCCUCAUUAGAUCUAAAAUUCUA
rnacentral:lncRNA from 1 species